rnacentral:rRNA from 1 species
AUUGAACGCUGGCGGCAUGCCUUACACAUGCAAGUCGAACGGCAGCACGGGAGCAAUCCUGGUGGCGAGUGGCGAACGGGUGAGUAAUAUAUCGGAACGUGCCCAGUCGUGGGGGAUAACGUAGCGAAAGCUACGCUAAUACCGCAUACGAUCUAUGGAUGAAAGCGGGGGAUCGCAAGACCUCGCGCGAUUGGAGCGGCCGAUAUCAGAUUAGGUAGUUGGUGAGGUAAAGGCUCACCAAGCCGACGAUCUGUAGCUGGUCUGAGAGGACGACCAGCCACAAUGGGACUGAGACACGGCCCAGACUCCUACGGGAGGCAGCAGUGGGGAAUUUUUGGACAAAUGGGCGCAAGCCUGAUCCAGCAAUGCCGCGUGCAGGAUGAAGG